GAUGAACGCUGGCGGCGUGCCUAAUACAUGCAAGUCGAGCGAACAGACGAGGAGCUUGCUCCUUUGACGUUAGCGGCGGACGGGUGAGUAACACGUAGGUAACCUACCUAUAAGACUGGGAUAACUUCGGGAAACCGGAGCUAAUACCGGAUAAUAUUUCGAACCGCAUGGUUCGAUAGUGAAAGAUGGCUUUGCUAUCACUUAUAGAUGGACCUGCGCCGUAUUAGCUAGUUGGUAAGGUAACGGCUUACCAAGGCAACGAUACGUAGCCGACCUGAGAGGGUGAUCGGCCACACUGGAACUGAGACACGGUCCAGACUCCUACGGGAGGCAGCAGUAGGGAAUCUUCCGCAAAGGGCGAAAGCCUGACGGAGCAACGCCGCGUGAGUGAUGAAGGUCUUCGGAUCGUAAAACUCCGUUAUUAGGGAAGAACAAACGUGUAAGUAACUGUGCACGUCUUGACGGUACCUAAUCAGAAAGCCACGGCUAACUACGUG
rnacentral:rRNA from 1 species